GUCCCUGUAGCGCAAUGGAUAGUGCGUUGGGAUACUAAUCCAAAGGUCGUGCGUUAGUAUCCCACCUGGGACG
rnacentral:tRNA from 1 species